rnacentral:rRNA from 1 species
AAUAUUUGACAAUGGGGGCAACCCUGAUCCAGCCAUGCCGCGUGUGUGAAGAAGGUCUUCGGAUUGUAAAGCACUUUAAGAUGGGAGGACGGGCUUUGGGUGAAUACCCUGAAGUUUUGACGUUACCAACGGAAUAAGCACCGGCUAUAUCUGUGCCAGCAGCCGCGGUAAUACAGAGGGUGCAAGCGUUAAUCGGAAUUACUGGGCGUAAAGCGCGCGUAGGUGGUUCAGUAAGAUGGGUGUGAAAUCCCCGGGCUUAACCUGGGAACUGCUUUCAUAACUGCUGAGCUAGAGUACGGUAGAGGGUAGUGGAAUUUCCUGUGUAGCGGUGAAAUGCGUAGAUAUAGGAAGGAACACCAGUGGCGAAGGCGACUACCUGGACUGAUACUGACACUGAGGUGCGAAAGCGUGGGGAGCAAACAGG